rnacentral:rRNA from 1 species
AUUGAACGCUAGCGGGAUGCUUUACACAUGCAAGUCGAACGAGUGGCGGACGGGCGAGUAAUAUAUCGGAACGUGGCUAGUAGCCGGGGAUAACUACUCGAAAGAGUGGCUAAUACCGCAUACGAUUGGAUCGGCUGAUGUCGGAUUAGCUAGUUGGUGGGGUAAAGGCUCACCAAGGCAACGAUCCGUAGCUGGUUUGAGAGGAGGACCAGCCACACUGGGACUGAGACACGGCCCAGACUCCUACGGGAGGCAGCAGUGGGUAAUUUUGGACAAUGGGGGAAACCCUGAUCCAGCCAUCCCGCGUGUAUGAGAAGGCCUUCGGGUCGUAAAGCACUUUUGGCAGAGAAGCGGUAUCUGCAGAAUAAGCACCGGCUAACUACGUGCCAGCAGCCGCGGUAAUUC